UACGUAGGGUGCAAGCGUUGUCCGGAAUUAUUGGGCGUAAAGAGCUCGUAGGCGGUCUGUCGCGUCUGCUGUGAAAACUCAGGGCUUAACCCUGAGCUUGCAGUGGGUACGGGCAGACUAGAGUGCGGUAGGGGAGACUGGAAUUCCUGGUGUAGCGGUGAAAUGCGUAGAUAUCAAGAGGAACACCUGCGGCGAAGGCGGGUUGCUGGGCCGACACUGACGCUGGAGGCGCGAAAGCUAGGGGAGCGAACGGG
rnacentral:rRNA from 1 species